GCUUGUCUCAAAGAUUAAGCCAUGCAUGUCUAAGUACAAGCCUCAGUAAGGUGAAACCGCGAAUGGCUCAUUAAACAAGUUAUGAAUUUAGCCACCUGGUUCCGUCGCAAGACGUAGGAAUAACACUGUCAACUGCAGCGAUAAUGCCUGAAAAACGUGUGAAUUUAGUAGCACAAAUACUAGAGUAUGGAUGAGUCCGCUCUAUUCAGGAGGGUUUUCCCUCUGUUGACCAUCGAGUUCGAGGGUUGAAUACUUAGGCUUCGGCUUCUGUUGAAAGCUUUAUCGGUGGCCGGGAAGAUAUGUUUCUAAUCUAUUAGCCAGACUAUUGGGUAAGGUCCAAUUUUCGGCUAUAAUGGAUACAGGGGAUCGGUGUCCGACUCUGGAGAGAGAGCCUGAGAAACGGCUAUCACAUCUAAGGAAGGCAGCAGG
rnacentral:rRNA from 1 species